UUUCUCUUUGCUUCUGGCUGUACAGGCUACUGCCUCGCCGGCUGGCUAGGUCACUCUGGCCACAUCUCUGCAUUAACACAUCAUGUCUACAUAUAGGCCUUUAGUCUCCAGCCACGAACAGUUGUUUACUGAAUACUUAAAUUGGAGUGUGAAGUUUUUAUAACCAGGAAGAAAAUGUUCCCACCAAAUGGUGUUAUAAAGAACACAGCCUGAAGGCCAGAAGUCAUGCCAUGCAGUUUUAAAGGCAUUCAAAGAUCACUGAAAGCAGUUGAGGCAUCGUACCAGAAAGAGAGACCAGAAGACCCUACUGGUGAAAGUACAGUCCAAUUAAAGCAGAAGACUCCAAGACUUUGGAGAUUCCAGUGCCAUGGGACAAUCUCCAGGAAGAGCAACUAUGGAAUAGAGCCUAUGAGACAAGCUAUGUCCUUAGUGGCAAACAUUUUGGGGGUACACAGAAGACCAUGAAUGAUUUCUGGUUUUUGAAUACUGAGCUCAUUACAGUUUGAAUUUUGUUUUGCUUUGAGUCACUGUGCCCUGAUUGUUCCCUUUUGAAAUAAGAAAUUAUUUUUUUGUUAUUUUACUGUAGGCUACAGUUCGGAGA
rnacentral:lncRNA from 1 species